AGUAGACCCCUUUGCUUCUCUGUUGCAAUUAUGAGUUAAGACCAUUAUGGAAAUGUGGAUUACAUUUGUUAUUUUCAAGUUGGAAAACUUGACAACUACAAAUUCCUUUGUAAGAUUUAUUAAACCAGGUGAAGUCUGCGCUUCUUUGUUGCAGUCUAAUGUGCACAUGGAUUGGUUGCAGUCAUCCAGUGAAAGGUGUGAUUAAAUUGAGCUGUUGCAUGCAGUCUUUGGUGCUGAUGUUGUCCUGAAGUGUGGGAGAGUUCCAUGCUUCAAGUCUUCUGGGAUCAGCCAUAUCUGAGUUGACGCUGGAUCAUGCUGCAUUGAGGUUGCCGAAAUGUGGGACAUCUAGUAGAACUGCAAGAAGACUCCUUGUAAUGGUUUAUGUUUACGCAGCAGUGAUGUUGCUGUCCAAUAUGGCAUGUUGUUGCAGCCUAUAG